rnacentral:rRNA from 1 species
GACGAACGCUGGCGGCGUGCCUAAUACAUGCAAGUCGAGCGCAGGAAACUGACGGAACUCUUCGGAGGGAAGGCAGCGGAAUGAGCGGCGGACGGGUGAGUAACACGUAAGGAACCUGCCUCAAGGAUUGGGAUAACUCCGAGAAAUCGGAGCUAAUACCGGAUAGUUCAUCGGACCGCAUGGUCCGUUGAUGAAAGGCGCUCCGGCGUCACCUUGAGAUGGCCUUGCGGUGCAUUAGCUAGUUGGUGGGGUAACGGCCCACCAAGGCGACGAUGCAUAGCCGACCUGGGAGGGUGAUCGGCCACACUGGGACUGGGACACGGCCCAGACUCCUACGGGAGGCAGCAGUAGGGAAUCUUCCACAAUGGACGAAAGUCUGAUGGAGCAACGCCGCGUGAGUGAUGAAGGUUUUCGGAUCGUAAAACUCUGUUGUAAGGGAAGAACACGUACGAGAGGGAAUGCUCGUACCUUGACGGUACCUUACGAGAAAGCCACGGCUAACUACGUGCCAGCCGCCGCGGUAA